rnacentral:rRNA from 1 species
GAUGAACGCUGGCGGCGUGCCUAAUACAUGCAAGUAGAACGCUGAAGGAGGAGCUUGCUCUUCUGGAUGAGUUGCGAACGGGUGAGUAACGCGUAGGUAACCUGCCUGGUAGCGGGGGAUAACUAUUGGAAACGAUAGCUAAUACCGCAUGACAACAGUUAUUGUAUGAUAACUGUUUAAAAGGGGCAACUGCUCCACUACCAGAUGGACCUGCGUUGUAUUAGCUAGUUGGUGAGGUAACGGCUCACCAAGGCGACGAUACAUAGCCGACCUGAGAGGGUGAUCGGCCACACUGGGACUGAGACACGGCCCAGACUCCUACGGGAGGCAGCAGUAGGGAAUCUUCGGCAAUGGACGGAAGUCUGACCGAGCAACGCCGCGUGAGUGAAGAAGGUUUUCGGAUCGUAAAGCUCUGUUGUAAGAGAAGAACGAGUGUGAGAGUGGAAAGUUCACACUGUGACGGUAUCUUACCAGAAAGGGACGGCUAACUACGUG